UCAUGACCCCCGACGGGUGUGAUCUCUACUGCCAGGUGUGUUAAUGUCGUCACGAUCCCCGACGGGUGUGAUCUCUACUGCCAGGUGUGUUAAUGCCGUCACGACUCCCGACGAGUGUGAUCUCUACUGCCAGGUGUGUUAAUGCCGUCACGACCCCCGACGGGUGUGAUCUGUACUGUCAGGUGUGUUAAUGCUGUCACGACCCCUGACGGGUGUGAUCUCUACUGCCAGGUGUGUUAAUGCCGUCAUGACCCCCGACGGGUUUGAUCUCUACUGCCAGGUGUGUUAAUGCCGUCAUGACCCCCGACAGUUUGAUCUCUACUGUCAGGUGUGUUAAUGCUAUCAUGACCCCCGACGGGUGUGAUCUCUACUGCCAGGUGUGUUAAUGUCGUCAUGACCCCCGACGGGUGUGAUCUCUACUGCCAGGUGUGUUAAUGUCGUCACGAUCCCCGACGGGUGAGAUCUCUACUGUCAGGUGUGUUAAUGCCGUCACGACUCCCGACGAGUGUGAUCUCUACUGCCAGGUGUGUUAAUGCCGUCACGACCCCCGACGGGUGUGAUCUGUACUGUCAGGUGUGUUAAUGCUGUCACGACCCCUGACGGGUGUGAUCUCUACUGCCAGGUGUGUUAAUGCCGUCAUGACCCCCGACGGGUUUGAUCUCUACUGCCAGGUGUGUUAAUGCCGUCAUGACCCCCGACAGUUUGAUCUCUACUGUCAGGUGUGUUAAUGCUAUCAUGACUCCCGACGGGUGUGAUCUGUACUGUCAGGUGUGUUAAUGCCGUCAUGACCCUCGACGGGUGUGAUCUCUACUGCCAGGUGUGUUAAUGCCGUGAUGACCCCCGACGGGUGUGAUCUCUACUGCCAGGUGUGUUAAUGCCGUCAUGACCCCCGACGGGUGUGAUCUCUACUGCCAGGUGUGUUAAUGCCAUCAUGACCCCCGACGGGUGUGAUCUCUACUGCCGUCAUGACCCCCGACGGGUUUGAUCUGUACUGUCAGGUGUGUUAAUGAUGUCACGACCCCCGACAGGUGUGAUCUCUACUGCCAUGGGCAUUAAUGCCGUCAUUGGCAAUCAACUACAGUGUUCAAAUACAUGCAGUUGGUAUCAGAAUAAUAAUUGUCCAUCUAUCAAAGACAGCUGUUUGAUGUUUAUCAUAUCUGUUAUUUGUUGUUGUAUUGGGUCAUCGUAAUGCUAAUACACAUUUUACGUUUUCACGCAAGUUAUUUUAUGUGAUAUGCAAAAACAUGGUUGGGUACGGUAAUGAUUUUUUAUAUUACCGGUAAAAACCAUCCCAAUAUUUGCCCCAUGGUGUAUCAAAGUAGCCAUAAUAUGUACUAGUCUGCAUAUGGGAAUGUACAUAUAAAAGAUACUGAGCUGGUGUUUAGGUAGAAGUAGUCAGUAUUGUGGAAUCAUGUUUCCAUACUGGCAAUCAAGUGUCGAAAUGACGAAUGUUAGAUAGCAAAUCUGUCUAGCAAAGACACCCCCCCCCCCCACCUCACCCCCCCCCCCCACCCCCCCCCCCCCCCCCCCCCCCCCUCCCCCUCACCCCCUCACCCCCCAAAAUAAUAAUAAAAUGGUACAAACUGAGCUAAAGUAUGAAUUGGAAAUUUUCAAACAAGUGUCAAAAUACGAGGGAAAUCUGCCGGAAAUGCUAACCUGAGAAACAAAAUCAUUUACUUGCUUUAAAAAGCCUUAAUGAAAAGGAAUAAUGUGACUUGCUGAAAAAAAAAAAAAAAUUGUUACUUGUCAGUUGGCUGAAUGUUAGUCUUAGCUGGGUAUAACUCUAGUUAAAAGACGUUGUAAGGUGUGGAAAAUGUUCAUUUGCCUUAGUAAAUGAUCGUGUAAUAUGGUGAGGUAAAAUAUCGUCUUUAGAAAGCUGUUACAGUUUAAUCAUUUAAUUAUUAUGGAGAAAAUAUUACACUAUUCCUUUAAGUUUUGUAUUAUAUGUUACAAUUUAUAGCGUUUUAAAUUGACUGCCAAGCACCAAUACUCAACUGGAGAGUUGUAAGAAAACAUUCCUGCAAAUGUAGAAAAAAAAAAAAAAAAUUAUUUCAUUACGGUAAUGUCCUCAUUUUCAUAUACACUCUCCGUAAAAAGAAUUAAGCAAUUUAUGAAAGACAUGAUAUACCGCUAUUUUUUAAUUGCAACUGCAAUGAGAUGGAUGUCCAUACUUGUUCAAUUUAUACUGUCAUUUUGGGAUGUUUUGGCAUGGGCAUGUGUGUGUGAUGUUUUAUGGAUAUUGUUAAAAUAAAUACACAUACAGUUAGAAAGAUCAAUUUAAAAAUAAUAAGUUGCUCAAUUUUUUUGUUGGGAGUAUAUAAUUUUGUUUAACCUAUUGUUGACAGUUUGUGUGGGGAUUUUGCACAAAAACAUCAUCAUUUACUUUGAUCCCCCCCCCCCCCCCCCCCACACACACACACACACACAAACAUCCUGUUACGCAAAGUAUUGAUGGACAUGGUUAGGAUUAACAGAAUGUGGGAUAAGCAUGUGCAUGUUUAUAGCUCUAAAAUUUGAAUGUCUGUGUGUUUGCUACAGCUGAUUUUAGUUCUUAUUUCUUGUUGCCAUGGACACUGAGAACAGAGUGACCAAUAAAGCUGUUUUUUAAUUUG